rnacentral:rRNA from 1 species
CCUACGGGAGGCAGCAGUGGGGGAUAUUGCACAAUGGGGGGAACCCUGAUGCAUCGCCGCCGCUUGUUUUCCUCCUCUCCUCUUCUCUUCCCGCCCUGUCAGCAGGGAAGAAAAUGACGGUAACUGAAGAAGAAGCCCCGGCUAACUACGUGCCAGCAGCCGCGGUAAUACGUAGGGGGCAAGCGUUAUCCGGAUUUACUGGGUGGAAAGGGGGCGCAGACGGCGAUGCAAGCCAGGAGUGAAAGCCCGGGGCCCAACCCCGGGACUGCUCUUGGAACUGCGUGGCUGGAGUGCAGGAGGGGCAGGCGGAAUUCCUGGUGUAGCGGUGAAAUGCGUAGAUAUCAGGAGGAACACCGGUGGCGAAGGCGGCCUGCUGGACUGCAACUGACGUUGAGGCCCGAAAGCGUGGGGAGCAAACAGGAUUAGAUACCCCAGUAGUC